rnacentral:lncRNA from 1 species
GAGCUGAGUGCACAGUGAACUUUAUUGCUGCAGAGAACCUGCCAGAACUCAUCACACCUUGUAGCUGACACCUUCCUGUGCCAGGCUCAGGCAAAGGACAAGAACGGAGAUCUUCAAACAUGUCUGGUCUUCUCUCUUUGUUUCCUUGAACCUUUCAACAGUUCCAGCCUGACCACACUUGUGUUGUACUAUGGAGUGCCUAGAAAAUAUAGAUGCCCUAAGCCCUCAGUCAGGUUCCCAGAACAAGGCUACAACGUCUGGCUCCAUGACUUAAUUGAGUGAAACUGAAAUUUCCCCAACGCCUGGAGACAUUUGGAAGGAG